CGGCUUAUAUAAAGAAAUUAUAAAAUUGUUACAUAAUUAUGUAUAUAAUUACUGAGCUAGCAGUCUGAGCUAGAAUUCUGAUAAUUCCAUUUCUUCGCCAGCCUGCAAAGCGCAUGUACCAAGGAAACCUUGAAUUAUGAUUCUUCUGUUUGUUUUAUGUGCUCUUUUACAAUGUGCUGUGCUUUAUUCGGAUGCUUUGUUGCGAGAGACACGCAUUGUUGGAGGGAAGACAAUGGAGCCAGGAGAAUGGCCCUUCUUGGUCUCCUUACAUUAUCUAGAGCCAUUCUUUUUCACACGUAAAACCCAAAUGAAACAUGUUUGUGGAGGAGCACUGAUACAUCCGAAAUGGGUCCUGACUGCUGCGCAUUGCGUCGGGCUUCUCGAUGACCUGUCGGUGGAAAGCAAGUGGAAUGUUGUGCUCGGGGAACACAAUCAGUAUUUGACAGACGUGGGAGAACAGAUUAUCAAACCAGAGAGAUUCUUCGUCCAUCCAGGAUUCAAACCGGACGAAACAAAUAUAUUACUGAACGACGUCGCGUUGAUAAAGCUCAAGGAAGAAGCGGUUUUUACAAAGUUUGUCAGCUUGAUCCCAAUAUCUAACAAAACUAGAGUGGAGGAUGAUACAGAAUGUAAAACUGCAGGCUGAGGGCAGUUGGCCAGUGAACCUUACGGCUGGGGUAUGUUUAUUCCCCUAAAGACCACCAUGUUGUAUGUGAUCAACAAUCACACGUGCGAUCAAGUCUACAAGGAACUUGAGACCAGUAAAGAUGGGAUGCAUGUGGCCAUAGACGAGUCUGUCGUGUGUGCAGGGUUGCCAGAAGACAAGCAGUCGCAGUAUCAAAAAGACCACGAUGGGAAUCCCGACGCAUGCAAUCGAGUCCAUUUUAGCUGUGACCUGUCACCAAACAUGAAAAGCGUUUCUUUGUCGGACCCAAGCCCGACAAAAAGGGUGAUUCUGGCUCCUCACUUCUGGUCCGACACGUCUCGGCGGCAAAGACGAGGUUGUCGGCAUUGUUUCUACCGGGGAAGGGUGUGGAACUGGGAAAUACCCUGGAGUUUAUACAAAAGUUGCACACUUCACACAAUGGAUCGCCGAAAUAAUGGAAAACAACUGAAUAAACAUUCCGAAUUUACUACACCACAAGUCAUCGGUUUUUCAUUCUUCUAAUUUUGAUAAUUGUGAAAAAAAACCCAACUAAUGUCAUACAUAAAUAU